rnacentral:rRNA from 2 species
UAUAGUCAAGCAACUAAGCGCAUACGGUGGAUGCCUUGGCAGUCAGAGGCGAUGAAAGACGUGGAAGCCUGCGAUAAGGCUCGGGGAGCUGGCAAACAAGCUGUGAUCCGGGCAUCUCUGAAUGGGGAAACCCACCGGUCUUCGGACCGGUACCGUACGGUGAAUACAUAGCCGUACGGGGCGAACUCGGGGAACUGAAACAUCUAAGUACCCGAAGGAAAAGAAAUCAACCGAGAUUCCCUCAGUAGCGGCGAGCGAACGGGGACCAGCCCUUAAGCUGGACAACUGGUAGGAGAAGGCCCUGGAAAGAGCCGCCAUAGUGGGUGAUAGCCCCGUAUCCGAAACCUGAGUCCAGUGAAAUCGAGUAGGACGGGACACGAGACAUCCUGUCUGAACAUGGGGGGACCAUCCUCCAAGGCUAAAUACUCCUGACUGACCGAUAGUGAACCAGUACCGUGAGGGAAAGGCGAAAAGAACCCCUGUGAGGGGAGUGAAAUAGAUCCUGAAACCGUAUGCGUACAAGCAGUCGGAGCGGACUUGUUCCGUGACGGCGUACCUUUUGUAUAAUGGGUCAGCGACUUAUGUUCAGUGGCGAGGUUAACCGUUUAGGGGAGCCGUAGGGAAACCGAGUCUGAAUAGGGCGAUUUAGUCGCUGGGCAUAGACCCGAAACCGGGCGAUCUAUCCAUGAGCAGGUUGAAGGUUGAGUAACAUCAACUGGAGGACCGAACCCACUGUCGUUGAAAAGCCAGGGGAUGACUUGUGGAUCGGAGUGAAAGGCUAAUCAAGCCCGGAGAUAGCUGGUUCUCCCCGAAAGCUAUUUAGGUAGCGCCUCGGACGAAUACCACAGGGGGUAGAGCACUGUUUCGGCUAGGGGGUCAUCCCGACUUACCAACCCGAUGCAAACUCCGAAUACCUGUGAGUACUAUCCGGGAGACACACGGUGGGUGCUAACGUCCAUCGUGAAGAGGGAAACAACCCAGACCGCCAGCUAAGGUCCCCAAAUACCAGUUAAGUGGGAAACGAUGUGGGAAGGCUCAGACAGCUAGGAGGUUGGCUUAGAAGCAGCCAUCCUUUAAAGAAAGCGUAAUAGCUCACUAGUCGAGUCGGCCUGCGCGGAAGAUGUAACGGGGCUCAAACUGGUUACCGAAGCUGCGGCUGUGCACGCAAGUGCACGGGGUAGGGGAGCGUUCUGUAAGCCUGCGAAGGUGUGUCGAGAGGCAUGCUGGAGGUAUCAGAAGUGCGAAUGCUGACAUGAGUAACGACAAUGGGGGUGAAAAACCCCCACGCCGGAAGACCAAGGGUUCCUGCGCAACGCUAAUCGGCGCAGGGUGAGUCGGCCCCUAAGGCGAGACCGAAAGGUGUAGUCGAUGGGAAACGGAUUAAUAUUUCCGUACCUUGGAUAGCUGCGAUGGAGAGACGGAGAAGGCUAGGUGAGCCGGGCGACGGUUGUCCCGGUUUAAGCAUGUAGGCAGUGGGAUUAGGCAAAUCCGGUCCCA